CUCUCGACUCAGUUUCCCAGCAACCACAUUCAAAAUGGCGCACGGCCUGGGAUUGAGUACUGAAAGUAAUUGAUGUCGCACUUUAUAGUCAGGACGGUUCGUUUCGACAGCUGUGUUACAUUUGACAACCUUUUCUGUAAGAAGAGUAUUCUCUUCUUCACUUUGUACAUCGAAUGUGAGAAGUAACUUGAAACCCUCUUGGAUGAAAAUUCGAAUUUAUACUUCGACAGUGGAGUGAGAGAAGGAGGUAUAUCCGAAGAGGGUCGCCAACUUCGGAGAACAAAAAAAGGACGUCACUUGAGGAUGAAAAAACUGUUGUAUUCCCUCUUGGACAUGUGUAAAUCAACUCAAGAUGUGUUGCUAAAACAGGCAAAGCAGGAAAUAGCCAUGGGGAAAUGUAAGAACAAAGUGGACUGUAUGACUGAAGAAAUCGAAACGUUAAAGAGAAUCACUACAGAGGAUGCUAGGCCUAAACAAGCGAGUAGCAGGGCACAAAGAUGGUGUCUGGGAAAUCGCCGUCGUUAAUUUAGCAGUGGCUAAGAAGAAGGUUGAAAAACUGUUAAUUCACAUAUUCAUUUCAACAAUAAUUAAGAAACUCCUUCCUGGAUUGCCCGAGCUAUUCCUCUCAACUGAGGCCUUUGAUCUAUUGUCGGAUUUUAAACCAAAAAGGUUUUGAUUUAUGAAUAAAUCAAUAUCAUUACUUCACGA
rnacentral:misc_RNA from 1 species